UACGUAGGGUGCGAGCGUUGUCCGGAAUUAUGGGGCGUAAAGAGCUCGUAGGCGGUCUGUCGCGUCUGCUGUGAAAUCCCGAGGCUCAACCUCGGGCUUGCAGUGGGUACGGGCAGGCUAGAGUGCGGUAGGGGAGAAUGGAACUCCUGGUGUAGCGGUGGAAUGCGCAGAUAUCAGGAAGAACACCGAUGGCGAAGGCAGUUCUCUGGGCCGUAACUGACGCUGAGGAGCGAAAGCAUGGGGAGCAAACAGG
rnacentral:rRNA from 1 species